rnacentral:rRNA from 1 species
UACGUAGGGGGCGAGCGUUGUCCGGAUUCAUUGGGCGUAAAGCGCGCGCAGGCGGCCCGGCAAGUCGGCCGUGAAAUCUCCGGGCUCAACUCGGAGGGGUCGGGCGAGACUGCUGGGCUGGAGGCAGGUAGAGGGCGGUGGAAGUUCCGGGUGUAGUGGUGGAAGUGCGCAGAUAUCAGGAGGAACACCAAUGGCGAAGGCAGCACUCUGGGACGUGACUGACGCUGAGACGCGAAAGCGUGGGGAGCAAACAGG